AGAGUUUGAUCCUGGCUCAGGAUGAACGCUAGCGACAGGCUUAACACAUGCAAGUCGAGGGGCAGCAUAGAAGUAGCAAUACUUGGUGGCGACCGGCGCACGGGUGAGUAACGCGUAUGCAACCUACCUAUCAGAGGGGAAUAACCCGGCGAAAGUCGGACUAAUACCGCAUAAAACAGGGGCACCGCAUGGUGAUAUUUGUUAAAGAAAUUCGCUGAUAGAUGGGCAUGCGUUCCAUUAGGUAGUUGGUGAGGUAACGGCUCACCAAGCCGACGAUGGAUAGGGGAACUGAGAGGUUGGUCCCCCACACUGGUACUGAGACACGGACCAGACUCCUACGGGAGGCAGCAGUGAGGAAUAUUGGUCAAUGGGCGGGAGCCUGAACCAGCCAAGUCGCGUGAAGGAAGAAGGAUCUAUGGUUCGUAAACUUCUUUGCAGGGGAAUAAAGUGCAGGACGUGUCCUGUUUUGUAUGUACCCUGAGAAUAAGGAUCGGCUAACUCCGUGCCAGCCGCCGC
rnacentral:rRNA from 1 species